rnacentral:rRNA from 1 species
GAUGAACGCUGGCGGCGUGCCUAACACAUGCAAGUCGAGCGAACAGACGAGGAGCUUGCUCCUCUGACGUUAGCGGCGGACGGGAGAGAAACACGCGGACAACCUACCUAUAAGAAUGGGCUAACUUCGGGAAACAGGACCUAAUACCGGAUAAUAUAGUGAACCGCAUGGUUCAAUAGUGAAAGCCGGUUUUGCUGUCGAUUAUAGAUGGAGCAGCGCCGGAUUAGCUAGUUGGUCAGGUAACGGCUUACCAAGGCGACGAUGCGUAGCCGACCUGAGAGGGCGACCAGCCACACUGGAACUGAGACACGGCCCAGACUCCUACGGGAGGCAGCAGUAGGGAAUCUUCCGCAAUGGGCGCAAGCCUGACGCAGCAACGCCGCGUGCGUGAAGAAGGCCUUCGGAUCGUAAAACUCUGUUAUUAGGGAAGAACAGAUUUUGAUGUAACUCUGCACGUCUUGACGGUACCUAAUCAGAAAGCCACGGCUAACUACGUG